rnacentral:rRNA from 1 species
GUGAACGCUGGCGGUAGGCCUAACACAUGCCAGUCGAACGGCAGCACAGUAAGAGCUUGCUCUUACGGGUGGCGAGUGGCGGACGGGUGAGGAAUACAUCGGAAUCUACUUUUUCGUGGGGGAUAACGUAGGGAAACUUACGCUAAUACCGCAUACGACCUACGGGUGAAAGCAGGGGAUCUUCGGACCUUGCGCGAUUGAAUGAGCCGAUGUCGGAUUAGCUAGUUGGCGGGGUAAAGGCCCACCAAGGCGACGAUCCGUAGCUGGUCUGAGAGGAUGAUCAGCCACACUGGAACUGAGACACGGUCCAGACUCCUACGGGAGGCAGCAGUGGGGAAUAUUGGACAAUGGGCGCAAGCCUGAUCCAGCCAUACCGCGUGGGUGAAGAAGGCCUUCGGGUUGUAAAGCCCUUUUGUUGGGAAAGAAAAGCAGCAGGUUAAUACCCCGCUGUUCUGACGGUACCCAAAGAAUAAGCCCCGGCUAACUUCGUG